CCUCCCAACUGUUCCGCCUUUACUACAUCUGACUGGGGUCUCAGAAUCAACACUAUAUUGUAAUUAGUUAGUUAUUGUAAACAAAACAAGCAAACUCCACGCAGCGUGCAUGUGCAAAAACAAAAAAAACCCUCGUUCGUAGUCAAAUUCACCACACGCCGAUCGGGCAAUACUACACGCACACAAGCGUCCGCAACCAUUUCCGCCGCCAGCGGCAAAGAAUUGCUGCUCUCGUCUCGAAAGGAGAAGGUCGCGAGAAAAAGACCUCCGCGUGUGUCGCACGAUUUUGGACCGCACGUGCGGAUUCCUCGCGGAAAAUUGUCGGGCCUUCGUUCGGCGGUUGCGAUAUCGCGAUAUUUGCGUUCGGCGCGUAAGUCGUGCAUCUGUUGGAGCGUCCAGCGGCCGCUCGGACUGGACAGACUCGUCCCUGAAGACCCCGUGAAGUGAGCCACGUUUGGCACGAUCAGACCUGCCCGGGGACACGGCAAUCUGUAAAGCGCGUCAAGUCCGAACCGGACUCUGGAAGACACCUCAACUCCGAACCGAACUCUGGAAGCCACCCGUAGGGAGGCACCGCCGGAAGAAGAAGCAAUCAGGUAAAGACCAGAGAGCGUUCUUGUCAGAAUCGUCGCACUAAUCCAAGAAAAUCGCCCACAGAAGUUGCUGUGCCAAUUUCGCUGUGGGAAUCUAUCGCACAAGAGCCAUCCCUGAAGAACGCCGCCAAAAGCAAGCCCCGAAAACAUCCACACGGCGUCAUCCAGUCCGGGUGCAACAGGAGGAGAAUCGUCCACAGAAGUUGCUGUCCCUAUUUCACUGUGGGAAUCUGUAUCGCACAAGAGCCAUCCCUGAAGAGCGCCGCCAAAAUCAAGACCCGCAAACAUCCACACGGCGUCAUCCAGUCCGGGUGCAACCGGAGGAGCAAGCGCAACACGCACACCCCAUCAACAAGAACGCAAAAGGCCCCGGAAAAGGGUGAGAGAAGGAAAGGGACCGUUGUAGCAACCGGCCACUAACAUUCUGUGGGCACUCGACAUUGGCUGCUGGAGGCUGGUGCAGGAUUGCUGGCGAGCAACGGAACAUCCCGUCGGCAAGCACACGGGGCGAUUCGAGUCGCCGUCCCGGCACGGCGUGCAUGCGUCUUUGAGGGCGCUGGGCGAGACAACGCUAGGCGUUGUUCGCGAGGGCGCGGAAGUGGAGCAGCCUGCCAAGCUGUGGUCGCACGUGGGCAUGCGGUAACACGUGGCGGUCAAUGGGUGAACCUACGAGCCGGCGCACACGCGGACGACGAAAUGCAGGUUGCGGCAAGAGUGAGUGCUAGAAGUUAAGUGGGUGCGCACCCCAGAAGAAGAGCCCCAAGGGCGAGAAGAAUAAGCACACGUGCGAGAAGCGCCAUCUUUGCGCAUGUUUCGCUAGGUUUAGGCACACACGCAAACGCACGAUUUGUACCGUAUUUUGAGGAAAUAACAUGUUUUGAGCGCAUUUUCGUUGGGUAUUUUUGAUUUUGUAUGGUGCAGCCUGAGUAUCGCCUUUUUGUCUGCCGAUUUGAGAUUUACCGCUUUAGUUGUGAGAAUUUCGGAACAAUACAUUUACAAAUUCAAAAACAUUUUUUAAAUUUAUUUUCCUUCAAAUUCAAUACUACUCCAGCCAAAUAAGAACAGUAACAAAAAAUGAAGGCGGCUCUCACUGACAGUUCGCAAGUGGCUGACACUGACAACUAGGUGUAUUCUUCUCCGCCCGACUCAGAUCAAAACGGGCUCACCAAAGAAGACUGCUCUGCACGCCCCGACGUCGCCAAUCCC